UAUAUAUAUAUAUAUAUAUAUAUAUAUAUAUAUAUAUAUAUAUAUAUAUUUAUGAACAACCUUACCACCAUACUACUUUAAACUUUCUAAAAAGUCACCACUCUAGAGUGACACUGGCUGUAAGCAAAGUUACAAAAGCAACGUCGAAGAAGUACAUUGCUGGCUCUGAUUCCCCUAAAGCCCUGAGGCAUGAUGGGAAGUAGGACAACUUAAAUUGGAGCCAGGAAACCCAGCGAGCCAUAAGCCCACAUGGGUCUGAAAUCCUGCCGCAGUAGAUACCAUCUAACUGUACGUCCCAGUCCCUGACGUGUCAUCUCAAGUAGGAAAAAGGGGUGAAAAGGUUGUGUGUUAAAUAUCCAAACUCGACGUCAAGCCAAUUUUAUUUAUAAAUCCCCCAAUAUCACAUGUAUAACUGUUUUUGAAUCAGACAGAUUUGACAGUUUGCAUAGUUUAGUUUUGCAUGCUGCCAAGGGGAGCGUGGGAGCUGAGUGGAGCACAGGGUCCUGGCAGAACAUGAAUGGGGGAGGCUGAAGAGUGAUGGAGGGGAUGACAGGAUGGGGACAGGGAUGACAUACACCGCACAGCAGGUACUGCCUCUGCAGUCGGUGUGUGCCUGAGCAUGGGUGCACAUUAAAGGCGUUUCUUGUCAUGUUGGUGGUUCUAUGUCUUUUUCUGUUUUCUUGUACAUGUCAGGAAAGUUGUGUCACAGUUUGUCAUCUCACAUCACACCGCGCCUGUUAACAGAGUCGACUGAUUGGUUCUUUGUGUCAUAGCAAGAGAUUUGUUUGGGUAGUUCACUGAUCAGACUAACUAAACUAUUUACACAUUGUUCCGUAAAAAAGUGCUCUUUGCACUAAAAUAUUUACAUGGGAAGACCAUCUAUAGGGAAACAAUGUCAGUCAAGUCCACAUGAAAUAAAAGUGGGAAAAAGACA